AUGGACCUGCGGUGCGUGCUCUGCGUGGCCGCCGGGGCCCUCUUCGCCGUGUUCCUCCUCGGGGCCUCCUGGAUCGCAUUCCCCUCCGCCUCAUUCUUCCUCCUCCAAUAUUCCCCUGCCAGCCAGCGCGCACCCCCGCGCUUCGCCUACCUCAUCUCCGGCUCGGCCGGGGACGCUGGCAGGCUCCGCCGCUGCCUCCUCGCGCUCUACCACCCACGGAACCACUACAUCCUCCACCUGGAUGCGGAGGCGCCCGACUCGGACCGCACGGGGCUGGCGGCGUUCGUGGCCGCGUAUCAGCCUGGACGACACGAGCAAGGUUUGCGGCCCGCUCGUGGCCCGUUCAGGACCGGACCGUACGGUCCAGGCCCGGUAGAAAAACAUGACGGUCCGGGCCCAGAAAUACAGACCGCGAAAAGUUCGGUCCGGUCCGGUCUAUAA
rnacentral:rRNA from 1 species